CCUACGGGUGGCAGCAGUGGGGAAUAUUGCACAAUGGGGGCAACCCUGAUGCAGCGACGCCGCGUGAGUGAAGAAGGAAUUCGUUAUGUAAAGCACUAUCAGCGGGGAAGAAAAUGACGGUACCUGAGUACGAAGCCCAGGCUAACUACGUGCCAGCAGCCGCGGUAAUACGUAGGGGGCAAGCCGUAUCCGGAUUUACUGGGUGUAAAGGGAGCGUAGACGGCAGUGCAAGUCUGGAGUGAAAGGCGGGGGCUCAACCCCCGGACUGCUCUGGAAACUGUACGGCUGGAGUGCAGGAGAGGGAAGUAGAAUUCCUAGUGUAGCGGUGAAAUGCGUAGAUAUUAGGAGGAACACCAGUGGCGAAGGCGGCUCACUGGACUGUAACUGACGCUGAGGCUCGAAAGCGUGGGGAGCAAACAGGAUUAGAUACCCUAGUAGUC
rnacentral:rRNA from 1 species